CCUCCAAAACUAAACAACUUGCCAAUCCCUUCCUAAAAAUUUAGAAAAAUUAGCUGUUUGAAAGCAACUUGUUUGUUGAAAGGAAUUCACCUGCCAGUGACCAAGGUAGAACCUAUCAGCUCCAAAACCACCUAAGAUGUCCAAUUGCAUCUAAUAUUUUUGAAAAAUGUCCUCUGUCCUAAACACAAGACAUGUGGUUUUGCAGUGCAGUUGGAUCUGUAGUUUUGAACUGGGUUAGCUGGUGUGUUACAGUAGCUGCCUGUUGCAUUGCAGGAAUGAUCUUCUGGAGAAGUCUGGUAACAAUAUUGACAUCUCAUAGUUUUCUCAAAUACUUUAGGACCCUGUUGAUUUAAAAAAAACUUACUUAAAUCUGAAAAUAUAGAUAAAAUUUGCUUUAGUAAUGCAUACAUCACAUUUUGGAAUAGCUUGGCAACUGACAUUUACCAAGUUCCCAUAGAUACAUGUAAAAUUGAACUUGCAGAUUAUGCAAUCAGCAGGUAAUGAAUGGCACUCCCUAUCAAUUGGGCAUAUUGAAUUGGAAAUUUGCCAUGGUAUUAC